GGGAUUAUAGGUGCCCGCCACCUCGCCUGGCUAAUUUUUUGUAUUCUUAGUUGAGACAGGAUUUCAAUAUGUUGGCCAGGCUGGUCUCGAACUCCUGACUUCAAGUGAUCCACCGGCCUUGGCCUCCCAGAGUGCUGGGAUUACAGGCGUCAGCCACCGUGCCUGGCCUUUAAUGCCGAUCUUUUGUAGAAGUACUUAACAUUAGUAUUCUCUACUUAUAUUAGCAUGAAGAAGAUAAGUCAGUGUAGCUGCUUGGGCGACUUGUAGUGGCUGAAAAACAGCUGAGUAUAAUUAUGACUCAUGUACAUUUCUUUCUUUCAGGGGUGGCCUAUGUAUGCACAGCUACUGAUUGAUUUAUUCAAAUAUUUAGCGCCUUUCCUUAGAAAUGUGGAACUCACCAAACCUAUGCAAAUCCUCUACAAGGGCACUUUAAGAGUGCUGCUGGUUCUUUUGCAUGA
rnacentral:sRNA from 1 species